rnacentral:rRNA from 1 species
GUGGGGAAUCUUGCGCAAUGGGCGAAAGCCUGACGCAGCCAUGCCGCGUGAAUGAUGAAGGUCUUAGGAUUGUAAAAUUCUUUCACCGGGGACGAUAAUGACGGUACCCGGAGAAGAAGCUCCGGCUAACUUCGUGCCAGCAGCCGCGGUAAUACGAAGGGGGCUAGCGUUGCUCGGAAUUACUGGGCGUAAAGGGCGCGUAGGCGGACAGCUUAGUCAGAGGUGAAAGCCCAGGGCUCAACCUUGGAAUUGCCUUUGAUACUGGCUGUCUUGAGUUUGGGAGAGGUGAGUGGAACUCCGAGUGUAGAGGUGAAAUUCGUAGAUAUUCGGAAGAACACCAGUGGCGAAGGCGACUCACUGGCCCAAUACUGACGCUGAGGCGCGAAAGCGUGGGGAGCAAACAGGAUUAGAUACCCGAGUAGUCC